GACGAACGCUGGCGGCGUGCUUAACACAUGCAAGUCGAACGAAAAGGCCCUGCUUUUGUGGGGUUCUCGAUAGGCGAACGGGUGAGUAACACGUGAGUAACCUGCCCUUGACUUUGUGAUAACUCCAGGAAACUGGGGCUAAUACCGGGUAUGAGCUCCUGCUGCAUGUUGGGGGUUGGAAAGUUUCGGCGGUGCGGGAUGGACUCGCUGCUUAUGAGCUUGUUGGUGGGGUAGUGGCUUACCAAGGGUUUGACGGGUAGCCGACCUGGGAGGGUGAACGGCGACCAGGGGACUGCGAUAGGGCGCAGAAGCCUACGGGAGGCAGUAGGCGGGAAUAUUACAGAGUGGGGGGACGCGUGAUGCAGCAACGUCGGGAGCGGGAUGCUGGGCUUUGGGUUAUGAACCAAUUUCGCCGGUGCCAUGCAGUGAGUGACGGUAAUGGGUCAGAAAGCCACGGCUAACUACGUG
rnacentral:rRNA from 1 species